GUGAACUAAAAAUACCUGGAACGCUACCUCCAAUAGGUUUGGCUUAUGAUCGGAUGAAGCCAAAUUUUACCUCCAGCCGCACGUGUUCUACCUCCAGACACGCGCGUUUGUGUUGCGAGACAUUCUCGCGAGACCAUUUCGGCAGUGACACAGGCAGUGACUUGAAUGUUUUUUCUUGGGCGAAUGGGUCGAAAAUUGUCGUUUAUUUAGGGUUUUAAGC